AGCAGCCGCGGUAAUUCCAGCUCCAAUAGCGUAUAUUAAAGUUGUUGCAGUUAAAAAGCUCGUAGUUGAAUUUCGGGAUUAGUGCGCUGGUCAUGCCUUUGGUAUGUACUGGUGUUACUGAUUUCUACCUUCUGAAGAACCGUUAUGUCAUUUAUUUGGUGUGGCGGGGAAUCAGGACUGUUACUUUGAAAAAAUUAGAGUGUUUAAAGCAGGCUCGCGCUUGAAUACAUUAGCAUGGAAUAAUGAAAUAGGACGUUUGACCCUAUUUUGUUGGUUUCUAGGAUCGACGUAAUGAUUAAUAGGGAUAGUUGGGGGCAUUAGUAUUCAAUUGUCAGAGGUGAAAUUCUUGGAUUUAUUGAAGACUAACUACUGCGAAAGCAUUUUGCCAAGGAUGUUUUCAUUAAUCAAGAACGAAAGUUAGGGGAUCGAAGACGAUCAGAUACCGUCGCAGUCUUAACCAUAAACUAUGCCGACUAGGGAUCGGAUGAUGUUAUUUUUAAUGACUCAUUCGGCGCCUUAC
rnacentral:rRNA from 1 species